GCCUCGCUGCUGCUGCUGCUGCCUGUUCUCCCGGCCAGACGAACUGUACGCUCAGAAACUGAAGUACAAGGCCAUCAGCGAGGAGCUGGACCAUGCCCUGAAUGACAUGACGUCCAUAUAACUGUGACGUCACGCGACUACGAGGGUCCUUUGCUACGGCUGCCUUCUGUCGAUCUGUGCAUCGUUGGCUUACACACUUGGACACACACACACACACUUGCUCACACCCAGCCCCAUCUUGUUGCUUGCCCUCCCUCCCCUUCCACCCCCCACUCACCACCACCUCCACCCCUUUCUAACCACAUUGUUGUCUGCACCCCUGGUUUGUUCAUUCUUAUUUCCCCGCCUGUUAUUUUCAACCCCAAAUACCUGCGUCUUGAAAACCCGCUGUCUCUCCACCCUCUCCUCCUCCUCCUCCCUCUCCUCCUCCUCCUGCUUCACUGUCUUCCGCUCGAAAAUAAAGCAUUUCUGCCCUGG